rnacentral:rRNA from 1 species
UACGGAGGGUGCGAGCGUUGUCCGGAAUCAUUGGGCGAAAGGGCGCGUAGGUGGCCCGGUCGAGUCUUGGUGAAAGCGCGGGGCUCAACCCUGCGUCGGCCAGGGAUACUGCCGCGGCUCGAGCACUGUAGAGGCAGGCGGAAUUCCGGGUGUAGCGGUGGAAUGCGUAGAGAUCCGGAAGAACACCGGUGGCGAAGGCGGCCUGCUGGGCAGUUUAGCUGGACACUGAGGCGCGACAGCGUGGGGAGCAAACAGG